GGUUUAUGGUGGCCCCAGGACAUGGAGGUGAGGAGGGGGUGGGUGGGAAGGCAGCGGGGCCACCCAUUGACCACGGUGCAGGUGGCACCCAGGGGACAUUGGGUGUCGCUGCACGAGGGUUGGUGGUGGACACAUUGAGGCCAACCAUUGGUCAUUUUACAGGUGGUCCCCAUGGGACAUUGGAGGUCAAGGCAGGAAGGUCUCCUUAUGGAGGCCUUGGUUUGGAUGCACCUUGGCCAACCAUCAACCAUUUGGCAGGAGGUCCCCUUCUGGCAUUGGACGUCACUGCAUGAAGGUUGGUGAUGGACACAUUGAGGCCACCCACUGACCAUGUUGCAGGUGGUCCCUUUGGGACAUUGGAGGUCACUGCAUGAAGGUCUCAUUAUGGAGGUCUUGGUUUGGAUGCAUCUUGGCCACCCAUUGACCAUCUGGCAGGAGGUUCCUUUCCCACAUUGGAUGUCCUGGCAGGAAGGUUGGUGAUGGACACAUUGAGGCCACCCAUUGACCAUGUUACAUGUUGUUCCCUUAGGACAUUGGAGGUCACUGCAUGAAGGUCUCCUUAUGGAGGUCUUGACUUGGGUGCAUCUUGGCCAACCGUCGACCAUCUGACAGGAGGUUUCCUUCUGGCAUUGGGUAUCCUGGCAUGAAGGUUGGUGAUGGACACAUUGAGGCCCCCCAUUGACCAUGUUACAUGUUGUUCCCUUAGGACAUUGGAGGUCACUGCAUGAAGGUCUCCUUAUGGAGGUCUUGGCUUGGAUGCAUCUUGGCCAACCAUCAACCAACUGGCACAUGGUCCCCUUCUGGCAUUGGAUAUCCUGGCAGGAGGGUGGGUUGUGGACACAUUGGGGUUGGCCAUUGACCAUGUUGCAGGUGGUGCCCGUGGGACAUUGGAUGUGGCUGCAUGAAAGUCUCCUUAUGGAGGUCUUGGCUUGGAUGCAUCUUGGCCAACCAUCAACCAUCUGGCAGGAGGUUCCUUUCCCACACUGGACAUCACUGCAUGAAGGCCUGUGAUGGAGACAUUGGGGCCACCCAUUGACCAUGUUGCAGGUGGUCCCUUUGGGACACUGGAGGUCAUUGCAUGAAGGUCUCCUUAUGGAAGUCUUAGUUUGGACACAUCUUGGCCACCCAUU